rnacentral:rRNA from 1 species
AUUGAACGCUGGCGGCAUGCCUUACACAUGCAAGUCGAACGGCAGCACGGGAGCAAUCCUGGUGGCGAGUGGCGAACGGGUGAGUAAAGUAUCGGAACGUGCCCAGUCGUGGGGGAUAACGUAGCGAAAGUUACGCUAAUACCGCAUACGAUCUAUGGAUGAAAGCGGGGGAUCGCAAGACCUCGCGCGAUUGGAGCGGCCGAUAUCAGAUUAGGUAGUUGGUGGGGUAAAGGCUCACCAAGUCGACGAUCUGUAGCUGGUCUGAGAGGACGACCAGCCACACUGGGACUGAGACACGGCCCAGACUCCUACGGGAGGCAGCAGUGGGGAAUUUUGGACAAUGGGCGAAAGCCUGAUCCAGCCAUGCCGCGUGCAGGAUGAAGGCCUUCGGGUUGUAAACUGCUUUUGUACGGAACCAAAAGGUUUGGCCUAAUAAGCUGAGCUCAUGACGGUACCGUAAGAAUAAGCACCGGCUAACUACGUGCCAGCAGCCGCCGCAG